UUGAACUCUGCAGGGUACCCCGUGGUGCAAAAAAAAAUGCUGAGGCUUCUUCUUCGAAAGAAACUCUAUUGCUAGGUAUCUACCUACUUACUUAUUUAUAUUCAAAAACAGAUUCAUUGUUGUGAUUAUAAUAUACGAUAAAAUUUCAAAUACGUCUUUAGCUGUCCAAACAUGGUUUUUGUGGUGCGUUCCAGUGGAGCAGCUACAACGGCGGCAGUCCAUUAAACGCCUGUAUCUCUUAAUCAAAACUCCUCCUUCGGUGACAAUGAGUUAUAGCCCCGGCAGUGAUGACUUGAAUAUUAAACGAAACCGGAGAAUAUUUGUGGAUAACGAAGGGCAGAAAAUAAUAAUAAUAACGUAUUAAAAAGAUACACUCCCCUGUAGCAGGGCGUACGAUUUGGCUGAAUUUUUUUUUUUAAAUCACGAUGCAACGCCGAAUAUUGUUUUUCAGCCUACGGCGAUACACAAAGACGGCUGAAUUACCCACUCCAAAAUAUGCGACCACCAUAAAUUAAUGACGGUUAUAUAUAUUAUACAGCAUCGGACACGAAAUCGUAGGUAUAUAUAGUUUAAAUAGAUUUAAUAAUGUUUAUACUUAAAAUCGUAUUAGUUAUAUUAUCAAUUAUGUACAUUGUAUAUACACUUAUACGCGGAAGGUAAUUCCAUCUACAGUCAUGCUACAACGAUAUUUGUUUUUAAUAUUAUAUUAUAUAACCUCUCUUUGUCGUGUGCGACGCUCAGUCGUAUAUUUUGUAGUACUAUAAUGUACAUUGUACACACUUCAAAGUGAAUAAUAAUACUCGAAUAUCCUAUCAGAUAUAUAUAUACACGAUGCAUUGUAAAUAUUUACAAAGAUUACUGUUUCAAUAACAAAAUAUUAAAUAAUAUUAUCGUUUCUAUUUCAUUUUUACCUGCUUGCUGCAGUUCUAACCGAGUAAAUAAUAUAAUCGAUAUUUACUUAAACCGUUCGAGUGCGUAAAUACAAACAAUCUGAACACAAUCAAUUCAUAUUUUCCUAUUCCUAUUUCCUACAAAUGCAAGUUUUAUUGUCUUCCUCAAAUCAUUCUGUUUUUGUGUCUACACAUAUCAGACUAAUCUAUCACAUUGAUGAACUACGCUUGUUACAGAAAAUUCGCAUUCGUCUUCCAGUAAAACUCGCACAUGCUUCAAAAGUUGUUUUACUUGCCAGCGAUUGGUCCAAUCUCACGAAAAAAAUGUCCCAAAUAAGAAUGAUGUCCUUAACCAAUAUCAAGCAAUAACCAUUUGUAUCAAGGCCACACUAUAUUUUAAUCAUGUAAAUAACGUUUCUAUACAAUAUGUGUACCUACUGUUAAAUGUGUUAUAUUUAUUAUAUGGUCAUACAGGAAAUGUUUUGCAAAAUUCUGAGAGGCUGUAAUUAAUAUUGAUUAAUUAAAGUAAAUGUGUAUAUGUGGUAUAUAAGUGAUCAAAAACCAAGUCUAUCACACAUAAUUCUGAAAUUUUGUAUAUUAUAGUGUUAAUCCUAUACCUAAAUAUGUGCACCUCGAAGCCAUUAUUUAAAAUAUGGACUCACACAGAGAUUUAUUGGCUGACGAAAAACGAAUAUUUUUUGUUUAUACAGGGUUGCCGUAUUGUUUACAGAAAAUAAAAUAGUUAUUAUACAUAGAAUUUAGAUUUAGAAUUUUAAGUUUGGUCCAUACAACCCAAAUAAAUGUGUUCAAAAUCUGUGCGGUUUACGUUUAACGGAGUUAGUUUAAGAAGGGAAAUCAACGGGCAUUAAUUAUUUUUUUACGAGCAACUCCAUGCAGGAUCUAAAUUAUAAAAUUUUUUUUUUUUAUACAACUAUUAAGUUCUUAUUUUUACAUUAUAGUCUUAAGAAUAAGAAUAUUCUGCGAAAAACCAUACAAAUGAUUUUAAAAACUCGACAUAAAAAACUGAAUUGUUAAAUAAUUACGUAAGUUUAAGAUAAUAAUAAUAAUAAUAAUAUAUUGUUAUUGUAUUAUUUUAUUUUUUUUUAUUAUUUUAGAAAAUUUACAAUCUAUAUAUUACAUGACACAAUAAGUAAAAUAGAUGACUGGCAUAACAGUAUAUACAUAAUAAAAAUAACACAUGAAGCACAAGAUGAAGGAAAUCAUCCAGCGAUGGUACCCUCCAUUUAUGUUAUAAUAUUAUUAAAAUAAUAUCCACAAAAUUACGUCAUCGAACCUUUGAUAUCGAACUGCUCGCUUUAAGAGUAUUCAUAUUAUUUUUGUGAACUCGUGGGAGUUUAUUGGCUUUUGUUAGUUUUUACCAACGAUGGCGCGAAGAGUAUAUAGUGGGCAAAGGUUUGCGGCGUCGGGACAAAGGUUGCGUCAACUAUAUAUAAAAGGGUUUUCUUUCUGUCCUUUUCUUUUUUUUUUCAUCUGCACAGCAUAAAUCUAUUUCACAGAUUGUACCGAUAAGUUUAGUGUAUAUAUAUAUUAUAUUAUUAAAUGGCGCGAAAGAGGGCUUGCAGGGAAACGACGACGACAGCAGCAGCGGUAGAAUCCUUUAUACAGGAACGUUUAAUUACUCGGAGCAACAGGGAAAAUAAAUGACAAUAAAGGCGAUCGAAUCCCCGUGAGUAUACACUCCAUAUAUAUAUAUAUAAUAUUCAAGCGACGGGCCCUAAUGCCGGGGAUUUGCGUGUAACGGCGAUUUAUAUUGUUUUUACUUUCAAUGCGAGCACUUGGGCUCUACACACUUAUCGAGAUUAACCUCGACAGUGCGGCCCUGGCACAGCGGAGGUAUAAAAAGCGUCGGUAGUCGUUUGUUUUUCGUAUUUCAAUCAUUA